GGUAGUGCUCGUAGAUAUACUCAACAAGUGGAUGUGCACAACUCUGUCUUACGAUAACAUGAGAUUGUAUGUCAUUAGACAUCUUGUUUGAUAGUGGCAAAACACCAUUCCAAAGUUGGGUUCACCUCACCCUAUUGAUGUUCACCAAAAUCAAUUAUUAAGUGACGUAAAAUAUACAACACACACAUCUUAGGUCCUUAAUACAAUUAUAUAUUGUAUGUCAUGUCGUUUUAUAAUGUGUUAAGAAACUUUGACAGUCUCGGACCACCACACUAUUCCCC
rnacentral:lncRNA from 1 species